UCAUCCAUUUUCUUGUAAUGAUAUAAUUUUGUCCUUCAGGGCUUAAUCAGAUUGCAUUGCUUACAUAUACAUUCAUGUCAUCUGUUUACGUCUUGGUGAAUACCUAGGUUGAUUCUACAAGAUGGUCACUAUGAAUGGUGAGCUAUCCUCACUGCAAUGGAAAACUCACUGAUGCUGAAACAUAAGAAGUAGAAUCUUAACACCUUCUAUGUUCUAGAAUUAUUCAUAAUUGUAACAUUGUCUUGUUAGACACCAUGAACAAGGCAAGUCUUAUAAAGGACAACAUUUAAUUGAGACUGGCUUACAGGUUCAGAGGUUCAGUCCAUUAUCAUCAAGGUGGAACAUGAGAGCAUCCAGGCAGGCAUAGUGCAAGCAGAGCUGAGAGUUCAACAUCUUCAUCUGAAGGCUGCUAGUGGAAGAUUGACUUUCAGGCAGCUAGGACUAGGGUAUUAUAGCCCACGCCCACUGUGACACACCUACUCAAACAAGGCCAUACCUCCUGAUAGUUCUACUCCCUGGCCCAAGCAAAAACAAACUUUCACAAGCACCCUAAGUGUUUAUGUUAAAUUGACAUUAUAAGGAUCCACUUCAAUAGAUCUCAUUGUUUGAAAUGUCUUAGCAUGAUUUUAAAAAUUUAUUAAAUAUAUACAUUUAACAUAAAUAACAUGCUAUCAUAAGCAUGUAUAUGCAGCUAUCUCUGUUGUAUGCUGGCUGCUAUUUCAUCACAUAAACACCCAUGUUCUUUAAGUCUUAAAGCUCAAAACAUAAGAACUCUAAUGCAUGGUCCACAAAAGGUGCCAGUCAUUCAGAAGAUUCUCAAGUGUCAGCAAGCUAAUCAACAGGAAGACUACUGUGUUUCAUAAAAACAAGCAUCAUUUUGACUUAGGAAAACAGAAUUAAUAAAAGAAUAUUUAAGAGCAUCAAAUCCCUAGACUAUUGUGUUAGAAUGGAAUUUGUGUGUAUUUAAUGUGCUCGUUACUUGAAAUAAUGUGACCUGUUGCAGUGACAACUUUAUAAUGCCAACUUAAAGUAUCCAUCUGAGUCAUUGGUUUAGAGAGUUAAAAUUAUACAGGAGAUCAGAAUAUCAGAGGUAAUGCAGGCCUUCAGUGGGUUUCGGGUUUGUUCAGUCUUCUAUCCUCUGACAGAGCACUGAAGUUAUUCAAAUUAAAAAAUAAAUGCCUUGUGUGUGGCUUCUGGUUUCAGCCUAUGGUCGGCUGUCUCUGUUCUUUAGGCCAGCAGAGUAAGGAAACCCUCCAAAUAAGAAUAAGCUGCCACCAGGGACUUCCUAAAGGUUUGAUCACUAAAAUCUAGUAAAUGCCAUUGCUACAUGGACCUUUGGGGAAAAAUCAAAACCCAAACCAUUGCGUUUUUAUUACGUGUGUGUGUGUGUGUGUGUGUGUGUGUGUGUGUGUGUAAUCAUAUAUAUGUAUAUAAAUGUAUAUAUAUGAAUGAUGUGUUCUACCGAUCCUACUACAAUUUAUCUAGAUAAAACAAACUCAAUAUGCAGAAGAAAUACCUACUCUGCCAAUGUUUAUUACAGUACCAUUGGGAAAGAAAUAUCAACUUAAGUACCCAGCAAUGAAUGUACAGUAAUUGAAAUGUGUGUAUGAACAUACACAGAUGCAAUGGAAUGUUAUUGUGUCAUAUAAAGGAUGAAAACUCAUCAUUACAGCAACAUACAUGAAUUUAAAGAACACUAUGUGAAGCACAGAUACAGAAAAACAAGCACAACAUUAUUACACUCAUACACAGACUUUGAAGAAUCUGAUCUCGGAGAAGCACAGAGAAUGACAGAACAGAGCCUAGAGAAGCCGUGCGGAAAGACUGGUCAAUAUUUACAAAGUUAUGCUGCGAAUGACAGAAUAAUUCCUGGUUUUCUGCUCACAGCAAGGUGACACUGGUUUGGAAAUAGUGUUUGUCCAAAUAACUAAAAGGAUUUUCAAUACUCACACAAUAAAAAUAUAAAUAUAUGAGAUAAUGGUGAUAUAAACUAUCUUAAUUUGAUCACUGCACAACCCAGCUAUUCAAACAUCACACUGCAAUACAACGCAUGGGUUAUUAUUUUUGUGCUAAUUAAAUGUAUUUAGUUUAAAAAUAAAUGUUUAAAAAAAUAAAAUAAAAAUUAAUGCUUGAUUUUUAAAUAAUAUAUUAGAUUUAAAUAGAAUUAUCUGUGUUUACAAACAGAACCCACCCUAAUGCAAAGGCCCUAAAGCAAUGUUUGUGGGAGCCUGUCUGUUAGAAGGACUCAUUCAGCUGGUAUCUCAGAACUGGGAGAAGAAAUGCCCAACCUAAGACCUUGGACAACUACAAACAUGACUGAAGCUCUCUAACUCUAAACCUACGCUCUCUCUAUGAAACUUUUGGUCCCAAUACCAUGAUAUGUCAUGAAUGGCAUAGUCACAAGCAAAUCAAGAGACACUGUCUAGCCCACACUGGGGAGCAAAGAUGUAUGUCUGUUAUUUUCUAUCACACGUUCAGGUUCUAAAGCAGUUUAAGAAGGCUGAGUUCUGAAUGCUACAGGCUUGAGGCUGUUUGAAAGCCAUACACAAUAGGAACCAGUAAAGUGUAGUUGAGGUUAAGUCAGACCUCAUCAGACAUCUAGUUAGACAUUAUGAUCACUACACACACACACACACACACACACACACACACACACAUUUUGCUACAUUCUUUUCCCAAUUUAAGAAUGAUUUGUUUCUCAGGUAGGAAAAAAAUCUUAAAGUGAUUUUGACACGUCAGUUGUAUAAUUAUACACACACACACAUCAUUUUUGCCUCACUUUUUGUAAUGACCUGCACCCUGGUUGUCUGUGUCCUAAAGGAGUUUGAGCCGAUAGGAGAGGCCGCCAUGCCUAUCUGCAUGGUGAAUUUAGUAAAAAUUGCACUUAGGUGAAUAUGUUCUAGGCUUUGGCCUCUGUCUGCGACAGUCAUUCACUACUUGGACUUCAUAAAAUAAAGGAUUCUUACUUUGUGCUAAUACAAAACCAUGACCAAAACCAACACAGAGAAGAAUUUAUUUGGGCUUACCGUUCCACAGGGAGAGUCCAUAACAACAGGGCGGGCAUGACCACAUAUGACCAGUGCAGGAAGCUGGUGGAUCCUACUGUAUCAGCACACAAGAAGCAGAGGGGGCUGGUCAGAAGUGGGACAAGGCUAUACACUCUCAAAACUAGAUCUCAGGGAUGGACUUGCACCAGCGAGGUUCCAUAUCCU
rnacentral:lncRNA from 1 species